UUAACCUAAUAUAAGAAUGUGUUAAUAUUAGAGCUUAGAGCGCGAUGACUUUAGCGAUGCCUAGUCUAAUUCUGCUAUGAGCUGUUGUCCUUUUUUUUCAAAAAGGAAAAGGAUAUAUACCAAAUGGCGGCCGAUUCCGUUCCCUCUACGCCACUAUACUAGAAGUCUUGCGUAUUUGCCAGGCUACCGUACGUAUUCACAGAACUGUUGUAAGCGAGAACCGCAACUGACUGUACAAAAAGCGUUUGGUUCAAGUUCUUGCAACUCGGGGAGCGGUUACAGCAGAUGUCAGAGAUUAUCGACAUGCGGGGAGUGUACGGAGCAACAACUUUCCGAUUUGUGAGUAGUUUGCUUGUUUCAGGCCUAGCGUCACAAAUUCUGUAAUGAAUCAAGACGUAGAGGAGGCUACAGGUCACAGUAAGACACUCAGACCAGAGUCUGCACUACACAGCUGUGUGACCAUGAAGAAUGACCAGGACAUGGAUGAUCCUGUAAAUAUGAGCAGCACAUCAACACAGACCAAUGCAGGACCACAGACAAACAGACCUUCAUCUCCAGUGCCCACCUGCGUGUCUAUGAAGAGUGACAACUCCAUGCGUAAUCCUCCUGAUAUGAGCAGUGGGUCAGCCCCAUCAGCUCUAAAACCACAGACAAACAGACCUUCAUCUCCAGUGCCCACC